GGCUCUUCAUAGCUGAGUUGGAGCAGCACUGCGGCGCUAACGCAGAUGCCUUGGGUUCGAAUCCCAUUGAAGCCU
rnacentral:tRNA from 1 species